UCUCUCUCUCUCUCUCUCUCUCUCUCUCUCUCUCCCGACUCUCAGCUUCUUCCUACCCCCGACUUUCUCCCUCUCUCGCGCGACUCUCAGCUUCUUCCUACCCCCGACUCUCUCUCUCUCUCACGCGAGCUGCCAUUAAUUUCAGGGCUUAGAUGAAGAUCUGAAACAGGGAUUUUUCUGGUUUUUGGAGUCGAGGAAUGGUCGAAUUAGGGUUUCGAAGAGCUACAUUCCUGUGGGGAUUUUAGUGAGAUCUGGUGGAUCGAAAUUGUUCUGAACAAAAUGCCACUGAAUCAUUAUAAGGGCUUGAAUUCUGGGUUUUGGAGGUUUUAGGGUAUCUGUCGUAGCAGCUGCGGCAUGGGGAAAUCUCCAGGAAAAUGGAUCAAGACGGUUCUGUUCAGGAAGAAAUCUUCCAGAUCUGGAGCAUCGAAAGAAAGAGAGGCUUUGAUCUUUUGAGGGAGAUGUUUGUGAACCAAAGGGAAUGAACUUUGUGCUUUGGAUUUUGCCAUGGAAGGUGGUAGUGAUCCGGAAGGGAGUCAGUUUCUGAGGGCUAAGGAUUAUACUGCAGUAGAACAACCUAUGGAAGCAUUCAUGAAUAUCCUAUUCUCAUUUGGAACUACAGGUAACUUGAAACCUUUUAACUGAAACAUCUCAAAGAUCUUGAUGCUUCAUCUUGCAUAUUUCAUGCAAAUCACUGGUAUUAAAGACCAUUACAGGAUUUGUCAAAGGUAGUGACAGCUCAUCUUUUUGAAAUAGACGCACAUCUCCACCUGCACCUGAAUAUUUUGCUACUUUGCUUCAUGCCACUAUAAAUCAACCAGUGAGCCCCACUUGUACAAGCUAUGACUGGAGGAUCAUAUAAUGCCCCUUUAGUUCAUUAAGUGCGCUUACAUGUAAGUUGGAUUUGGACCUUUGGUCCUAAUUGUCUACGUUCAUUCUUUUACUGAUAUAUUUCUUUUAUACAAAUGUGUACUUUGUCUAAUUUCUACAAGUGAGGGGAAGUGAUUAUUUAUAAUUCAUUUGACCCAUUGUGUGCAAUGACACUAGGUCAGGCCAGUUGCAUGGCUUUCCUUGGUCUUGUAUCCUGUGGGACGAGUUGUCACUUUUCUCUCAAUGGGGAUGCUG